rnacentral:sRNA from 1 species
GCUGGGUGUGGUGGCGCACACCUGUAAUCUGAGACUCAGGAGGCUGAGGCAGAGGAUUGGAAGUUCAGGGCUGACUCAGCAACUUAGAGAGACCCUGACUCAA